GAUGAACGCUAGCGGCAGGCUUAACACAUGCAAGUCGAGGGGCAGCAUACCCGGUGACGGGUGAUGGCGACCGGCGGAAGGGUGAGUAACGCGUGAGCAACAUACCCGUAUCAGUGGGAUAAUACAGGGAAACUUGUUCUAAUAUCACAUAAUAUUAUUCAGAGGCAUCUUUGGAUAAUUAAAGUUCAGGCGGAUACGGAAUGGCUCGCGUGACAUUAGCUAGAUGGUAGGGUAAAGGCCUACCAUGGCUAUGAUGUCUAGGGGUUCUGAGAGGGAGGUCCCCCAACUGGAACUGAGACACGGUCCAGACUCCUACGGGAGGCAGCAGUGAGGAAUAUUGGACAAUGGAUGAAAUCUGAUCCAGCCAAUGCCGCGUGCAGGAAGCGGCCCUAUGGGUUGUAAACUGCUUUUGUACGGGAGCAAUAAGGUCUACGAGUAGAUUGAUGAGAGUACUGUACGAAUAAGCAUCGGCU
rnacentral:rRNA from 1 species